CUCUCGACUCUUUUUUCCGGGUUAAUUUCGUUUCGCAUUAAAGCAAAACCCAGCCCCGGAUAGAGAAGUGGGAAAGAGAAGCUGGAUUCUAUAGGUUCAGCCUAGGGUGACCAGACAGAACUCCGGCGCCCUCGCCCUUCAGUCACACAGCAACCCAUAGGUAUCAAUCCGGUGCUGGUGCCGAUGAGGAAACCGAGACUCCAAGACAUUAGAUGGUCAUUUUUACCGUAAAAUGGAGGCUGCUCUAAACCAUCAGCUCCGGUCGAAUUUGCUGAAUGAGUGCUGCCCAAAACUCCCGCUGGGAUGAUCGCUUAGCAGCAGCGCGGUGGAGCAUCGGAUUUCACGAAAUAAGUCAGCCAUCCCAGUGGAUUCCUGCCUGCAGAGGGCCUGUCAGCUUGGUGCCUGCAGUCUGCCGCCAGGAUCCCAAGUCCUGUGACUCAGACAGAGCUUCUGGGAGGAGCCGACAGCCAUCUCUUUCUCCAGGAGAACCAAGUAGCUUCCUUACCCUCAGCCUCAUGACCAUGUUUCAGCGCUGUCAUAGACUUGGCUUUUCAGACUCGGUUCUGCUUCCUGUGCUCAGCUCUGAGAUCACAGGAGGAAGGGAGGUUAUUAGUAAAUCCACGUGGAGACCACGGCCCACACCAUCGGUGAGAAUCAACUUGGGACCACUUAUUCCUGGAGACGCCUGAACAUCAACAAGGCAGGUGACUGACCCCAAGGGUUCUCAGCACAGUACAAACAGUAAGAAAAAAAAAAUCAAAAGGCGUACUUGGAUACAGUAAUAUUUAUCCUUACAUCAUUUUAGAGGAAACAACUCUUUUUAGGCCCUGAAAAACUCAUAGAAGAUUUUAAUUCUCAUUGUGAGGUGUUAAGAAGUGGGACCAAAUGAACCUUUAGGAGUUGACUAGGGGACUUGGGCAGCAAGGUAGCUCUGGCACUAGCCACUGGGCGUGACAACCUAGGGUUAAGCCCCAGAACCCACGAUGAAAAGACAGAACCAAUUCCUACAAGGUGUUCUCAGAUUUCCAAUAUACACCAUGGCGCACAUUCCCCUCCCUAGUCAAUAAACAAACAUAAAAAUGACGGACUUCGUAAUGUUAAACAAAAGAGCUGACCGGGCUGAGGGAUCCAUUCUGGACCAGUGGACACAGGCCAUUUUGUGAGUCUGAAAAUCUGUGUCUUACAUUGAGACCCCUUGGCCUCAGGUGUCCCGCACGGAGCCCAACACAAAGGCCAUCGUCAGCCACAAGAACCAGGAACAAACCUCUCCUCACUGAUUGCUCGGACUGGUAUAUCCAUUUAUAGCAACAGGAAACAGCCUAACG